UACGGGGGGGGCAAGCGUUGUUCGGAAUUACUGGGCGUAAAGGGCUCGUAGGCGGCCAACUAAGUCAGACGUGAAAUCCCUCGGCUUAACCGGGGAACUGCGUCUGAUACUGGAUGGCUUGAGUUUGGGAGAGGGAUGCGGAAUUCCAGGUGUAGCGGUGAAAUGCGUAGAUAUCAGGAGGAAUACCGGUGGCGAAAGCGACUCUCUGGACGGCAACUGACGCUGAGGCACGAAAGCGUGGGGAGCAAACAGG
rnacentral:rRNA from 1 species